rnacentral:rRNA from 1 species
GACGAACGCUGGCGGCGUGCUUAACACAUGCAAGUCGAACGGAAAGGCCCUGCUUGCAGGGUACUCGAGUGGCGAACGGGUGAGUAACACGUGGGUGAUCUGCCCUGCACUUCGGGAUAAGCCUGGGAAACUGGGGCUAAUACCGGACAGGAGCCAUUUUUAGUGUGAUGGUUGGAAAGUUUUUUCGGUGUAGGAUGAGCUCGCGGCCUAUCAGCUUGUUGGUGGGGUAAUGGCCUACCAAGGCGGCGACGGGUAGCCGGCCUGAGAGGGUGGACGGCCACAUUGGGACUGAGAUACGGACCAGAAUCCUACGGGAGGCAUCAGUGGGGAAUAUUGCACAAUGGGCGCAAGCCUGAUGCAGCGACGCCGCGUGGGGGAUGACGGCCUUCGGGUUGUAAACUCCUUUCGCUAGGGACGAAGCUUUUUGUGACGGUACCUAGAUAAGAAGCACCGGCUAACUACGUG